rnacentral:rRNA from 1 species
AUUGAACGCUGGCGGCAGGCCUAACACAUGCAAGUCGAACGAGUGGCGGAAGGGUGAGUAAUGUCUGGGAAACUGCCUGAUGGAGGGGGAUAACUACUGGAAACGGUAGCUAAUACCGCAUACCAUCGGAUGUGCCCAUAUGGGAUUAGCUAGGAGGUGGGGUAAAGGCUCACCUAGGCGACGCUCCCUAGAUGGUCUGAGAGGAUGACCAGCCAUCCUGGAACUGAGACACGGUCCAGACUCCGACGGGAGUCAGCAGUGGGGAAUAGUGCACAAUGGGCGAAAGCCUGAUGCAGCCAAGCCGAGUGUAUGAAGAAGGCCUUCGGGUUGUAAAGUACUUUCAGCGGGUAGGCGUUACCAGCAGAAGAAGCACCGGCUAACUCCGUGCCAGCAGCCGCGGUAAUUC